ensembl:misc_RNA Y_RNA Y RNA
GGCUGAUCUGAGAGAGGUGUUUACAACUAAUUGAUCACAACCCAUUACAGAUUUCUUUGUUCCUUCUCCACUCCCACUGCUUUACUUGACUAGCCUUAA